rnacentral:rRNA from 1 species
AUUGAACGCUGGCGGCAGGCCUAACACAUGCAAGUCGAACGAGCGGCGGACGGGUGAGUAAUGUAUGGGGAACUGCCCGAUAGAGGGGGAUAACUACUGGAAACGGUGGCUAAUACCGCAUACUAUAGGAUGAACCCAGAUGGGAUUAGCUAGUAGGUGGGGUAAAGGCUCACCUAGGCGACGAUCCCUAGCUGGUCUGAGAGGAUGACCAGUCACACUGGGACUGAGACACGGCCCAGACUCCUACGGGAGGCAGCAGUGGGGAAUAGUGCACAAUGGGCGCAAGCCUGAUGCAGCCAUGCCGCGUGUAUGAAGAAGGCCUUAGGGUUGUAAAGUACUUUCAGCUGGGAGGCGUUACCCGCAGAAGAAGCACCGGCUAACUCCGUGCCAGCAGCCGCGGUAAUUC